GGCAGGGUUGGGAUAGCGCAAGUGAGCUGAACUUCUGCGCUGGUGUAGUGCACUAUCCUCAGUUUAAUACUUUAUUUCAGAAAUUAUUUCCUUUGGCGAAAACUGCUGUAGCCUUGUGUGUUUUUAUCAACACCAUUAAGGACACUUGGAUUUUCCCUUCAUCAAGUAAUUAACGGGUUUAUCGGGAAGUUGAGAUGUUUACAGGGAUACUCUGGGCUUCCAGUGCCACCCGAACCUGUGAUUUCUGAAAGCAGGUAAGCCACUGACUAACGCACAUUGCGCCUAUUCUCCACUCCACUGUGCGUGUGACAGCGGCUAACCAGCUUUUGGAUGUGUGCCUGACUCCAGCAGCCGUGGGAACGUCCCACCAGAGACUCCUGAACGGGUCGAGGCGGACACGGUCACUGUCCCUCCACGAGUCUUUCUGCUCCUGUAGCUCGGCUGGUGUGUGUUGGACUCCCAGGCAGCACAUCAUGUGCUGAAGAGUGUUCAGUCUAAAUGUGCUCUGACAUCAGUGCAUACGUGCAGUGUGUCACAGACAUGUGCUCCUGAUUAGACUCGCAUCUCUAGAUGAAGCGGCUUCACUCAUUCAUACUUUUAUACAUAAUAAUAAUGUUGUUUUGCACUGAUCCAGCAGCUCUGAACUUUUGAACUUGUACAGUUAAGCGAAUGCAGUUCCAGCAGCUGAGGGAGUGUCUGAAACCGAACUGAAUCAUAUUCAUGUUUAACAGGCUCGGUCUGUUAGCUGUCCAAUCCUUUAAUUUGUCACAGUAAUAAUUAAACUCCCAUUCUGAUCAGC